rnacentral:rRNA from 1 species
ACGUUAGCGGCGGACGGGUGAGUAACACGUGGGUAACCUACCUAUAAGACUGGGAUAACUUCGGGAAUCCGGAGCUAAUACCGGAUAAUAUUUCGAACCGCAUGGUUCGAUAGUGAAAGAUGGUUUUGCUAUCACUUAUAGAUGGACCCGCGCCGUAUUAGCUAGUUGGUAAGGUAACGGCUUACCAAGGCGACGAUACGUAGCCGACCUGAGAGGGUGAUCGGCCACACUGGAACUGAGACACGGUCCAGACUCCUACGGGAGGCAGCAGUC